AUUGAACGCUGGCGGCAUGCCUUACACAUGCAAGUCGAACGGUAACAGGUCUUCGGAUGCUGACGAGUGGCGAACGGGUGAGUAAUACAUCGGAACGUGCCCGAUCGUGGGGGAUAACGAGGCGAAAGCUUUGCUAAUACCGCAUACGAUCUACGGAUGAAAGCGGGGGAUCUUCGGACCUCGCGCGGACGGAGCGGCCGAUGGCAGAUUAGGUAGUUGGUGGGAUAAAAGCUUACCAAGCCGACGAUCUGUAGCUGGUCUGAGAGGAUGAUCAGCCACACUGGGACUGAGACACGGCCCAGACUCCUACGGGAGGCAGCAGUGGGGAAUUUUGGACAAUGGGCGAAAGCCUGAUCCAGCCAUGCCGCGUGCAGGAUGAAGGCCUUCGGGUUGUAAACUGCUUUUGUACGGAACGAAAAGCCUCUUUCUAAUAAAGAGGGUCAUGACGUACCUAGAUAG
rnacentral:rRNA from 1 species